UCACGACGUUGUAAAACGACGGCCAGUGAAUUCGAGCUCGGUACCCGGGGAUCCGAUCAGGCCUAACACAUGCAAGUCGAACGCCCUCUUCGGAGGGAGUGGCAGACGGGUGAGUAACACGUGGGAACGUGCCCGAAGGUACGGAACAACUCCGGGAAACUGGAGCUAAUACCGUAUGUGUCCGCAAGGAGAAAGAUUUAUCGCCUUCGGAUCGGCCCGCGUCAGAUUAGCUAGUUGGUGGGGUAAAAGCCUACCAAGGCGACGAUCUGUAGCUGUUCUUAGAGGAAGACCAGCCACACUGGGACUGAGACACGGCCCAGACUCCUACGGGAGGCAGCAGUGGGGAAUCUUGGACAAUGGGCGCAAGCCUGAUCCAGCCAUGCCGCGUGGAUGACGAAGGCCUUAGGGUUGUAAAAUCCUUUCAGCGGGGACGAUAAUGA
rnacentral:rRNA from 1 species